UGUAUCUUAAGGUGGAAGCGGUGGAUCGGCUGUGACUGGACGUCUGUUAGAACAUAAAAAGUCUAGAGUUUUACUUAUAGAAGCUGGAGUUGACGAGCCUGAAACCUACCAAGUACCUGGACUGAUUUUGAAGUAUUACAAUAACCCAAUCGUGGACUGGAGCUAUCGUACCUCCGACGAACCUGUGGCAUGUCGAGCAACAAAUGGUAGCUGCAAUUGUUUAAGAGCAAAAA
rnacentral:lncRNA from 1 species